CUAAUACCGCAAUAAAACCUAACACCGCAUGGUGUAGGGUUGAAAGAUGGGUUUCGGCUAUCACUUUAGGAUGGACCCGCGGUGCAUUAGUUAGUUGGUGAGGUAAAGGCUCACCAAGACCGUGAUGCAUAGCCGACCUGAGAGGGUAAUCGGCCACACUGGGACUGAGACACGGCCCAGACUCCUACGGGAGGCAGCAGUAGGGAAUCUUCCACAAUGGACGAAAGUCUGAUGGAGCAACGCCGCGUGAGUGAAGAAGGUUUUCGGAUCGUAAACUCUGUUGUUGGAGAAGAAUGUAUCUGAUAGUAACUGAUCAGGUAGUGACGGUAUCCAACCAGAAAGCCACGGCUAACUACGUG
rnacentral:rRNA from 1 species